UUCAGGAAUAGCUCGGUUGGUAGAGCGUGAGGCUCUUAAUCUCAGGGUCGUGGGUUUGAGCCCCGCGUUGGGAGAAA